GACGAACGCUGGCGGCGUGCUUAACACAUGCAAGUCGAACGGAAAGGCCCCCACUUUUUUGGUGGGGGUGCUCGAGUGGCGAACGGGUGAGUAACACGUGGGUGAUCUGCCCUGUACUUCGGGAUAAGCUUGGGAAACUGGGUCUAAUACCGGAUAGGACCAUGGUUUAGUGUCUCAUGGUGGAAAAAUUAUUGUUUUGGUGCAGGAUGAGCUCGCGGCCUAUCAGCUUGUUGGUGGGGUAAUGGCCUACCAAGGCGUCGACGGGUAGCCGGCCUGAGAGGGUGGACGGCCACAUUGGGACUGAGAUACGGCCCAGACUCCUACGGGAGGCAGCAGUGGGGAAUAUUGCACAAUGGGCGCAAGCCUGAUGCAGCGACGCCGCGUGGGGGAUGACGGCCUUCGGGUUGUAAACUCCCUUCGUUAGGGACGAAGCCACACCUUUUUUUGGGUGUGGUGACGGUACCUUUGUUAAGAAGCACCGGCUAACUACGUGCCAGCAGCCGCGGUAAUACGUAGGGUGCGAGCGUUGUCCGGAAUUACUGGGCGUAAAGAGC
rnacentral:rRNA from 1 species